GGGAUUGCAAUCUAGGUAAUUUUAAAUCCCGUUGAGCUGCAAAUCUAUAUUAAUUGUCAUAGUCACCCAUUUUGGGUUUUCUUCUGGGUUAAAACACAGCCGACACAUGUCCACCAUAGAAAGGAACACACAGAGUGAAGUCAUUUCUGCACACGAUCUCCCCCACAGCACAGCAAGACCCACUGAGGGAUAGCUUUAAAUUUUCGCUGAUAACACUCUCAGGCUAACCCAGUGCCUGCCAUGACAGGAGUACUACACUUGUUUAUGAGUGGGAGAAGAACAACGGCAUAGCGGACUGUCCUUCAAAGCUGUGCUGCAGCGUGUGGGACCUUCUAAUCCUCUCAUCUCCCAGAUUCGAUUGGCACAAGAGGAGGUGUGUAAUCAGCCAUCAGCCUGCUGCCAUUUUUCACCAAGAUGGACUAUAUCCUUGAACUGUGAGCCAAGGAUUUUCCCCCAUCAGUCCCUGUGCUCCCAUUCACUGGCCUUGGUGUAGUCAGAGAGGAAGAGAACCUAAAAGUAGGCCUCUUUUCAGAAUUCAGUGGAAGGUGAGCCAGUGGUAUGAUCGGGACCCCCCCCCCCCCUUUCUGGGUCUGUCUGUCUGUAUCUGUCUCUUUUGCCUCCACUCCCCAUGAUCUGCUGUAUCUUCAGAGACUUUUAUGACCUCAGCCUUUGAAGAGGAGAGCUGCAUCCAGGGAUAGCUGGCCACUGCUCUCUGAGCCACAGCACCAUGCUACCAUGCUACCAUCCUCUGUUAUUCCCAGACCAAGGAUAUACCAGAUAGAAGAAGGAGAAGAAGGAGAAGAAGGAGAAGAAGGAGAAGGAGAAGGAGAAGGAGAAGGAACAAAGAAACAAAGAAAGCAGAAUUGGAAGAUUUCACUUAGAAAUAUGUUGUUGGCUUAAAUUGGAAAAACUCAAACUCCAAAGACAGAUGUUGAAUUAAAAAUUUUUUUCCGAUUAG
rnacentral:lncRNA from 1 species